GACGAACGCUGGCGGCGUGCCUAAUACAUGCGAGUUGAGCGCUGAAGGUUGGUACUUGUACCCACUGGAUGUUCAGCGCACGGGUGAGUAACGUGUGUGGACUCUGCCUUUGAGCGGGGGACAACAUUGGGAAACGAAUGCUAAUACCGCAUUAGAACUUUAAACACAAGUUUUAAGUUUAAAAUAUGCAAUUGCCUCACUCAGAGGUGAUUCCGCGUUGUAUUAGCUAGUUGGUGAGGUAAAGGCUCACCAAGGCGAUGAUACAUAGCCGACCUGAGAGGGUGAUCGGCCACAUUGGGACUGAGACACGGCCCAAACUCCUACGGGAGGCAGCAGUAGGGAAUCUUCGGCAAUGGACGGAAGUCUGACCGAGCAACGCCGCGUGAGUGAAGAAGGGUUUCGGAUCGUAAAACUCUGUUGGUAGAGAAGAACGUUGGUGAGAGUGGAAAGCUCAUCAAGUGACGGUAACUAACCAGAAAGGGACGGCUAACUACGUG
rnacentral:rRNA from 1 species